rnacentral:rRNA from 1 species
UACGUAGGGUGCGAGCGUUAAUCGGAAUUACUGGGCGUAAAGCGUGCGCAGGCGGUUGUGCAAGACAGAUGUGAAAUCCCCGGGCUUAACCUGGGAAUUGCAUUUGUGACUGCACGGCUAGAGUGUGUCAGAGGGGGGGUAGAAUUCCACGUGUAGCAGUGAAAUGCGUAGAGAUGUGGAGGAAUACCGAUGGCGAAGGCAGCCCCCCUGGGCCAAUACUGACGCUCAUGCACGAAAGCGUGGGGAGCAAACAGG